rnacentral:rRNA from 1 species
UCGUAGUGAACUGGGGAGGAUCAU